UGGGGAAUAUUGGACAAUGGGCGCAAGCCUGAUCCAGCCAUGCCGCGUGAGUGAUGAAGGCCCUAGGGUUGUAAAGCUCUUUCAACGGUGAAGAUAAUGACGGUAACCGUAGAAGAAGCCCCGGCUAACUUCGUGCCAGCAGCCGCGGUAAUACGAAGGGGGCUAGCGUUGUUCGGAAUUACUGGGCGUAAAGCGCGCGUAGGCGGAUUGAUCAGUCAGGGGUGAAAUCCCGGGGCUCAACCCCGGAACUGCCUUUGAUACUGUCAAUCUAGAGAUCGAGAGAGGUGAGUGGAAUUCCGAGUGUAGAGGUGAAAUUCGUAGAUAUUCGGAGGAACACCAGUGGCGAAGGCGGCUCACUGGCUCGAUACUGACGCUGAGGUGCGAAAGCGUGGGGAGCAAACAGGAUUAGAUACCCCCGUAGUCC
rnacentral:rRNA from 1 species